rnacentral:rRNA from 1 species
GAGUCAGCCGCCGCGGUAAUACGUAGGUGGCAAGCGUUAUCCGGAAUUAUUGGGCGUAAAGCGCGCGUAGGCGGUUUUUUAAGUCUGCUGUGAGAGCCCACGGCUCAACCGUGGAGGGUCAUUGGAAACUGGAAAACUUGAGUGCAGAAGAGGAAAGUGGAAUUCCAUGUGUAGCGGUGAAAUGCGCAGAGAUAUGGAGGAACACCAGUGGCGAAGGCGACUUUCUGGUCUGUAACUGACGCUGAUGUGCGAAAGCGUGGGGAUCAAACAGGAUUAGAUACCCCCGUAGUCC